rnacentral:rRNA from 1 species
GACGAACGCUGGCGGCGUGCUUAACACAUGCAAGUCGAACGGAAAGGCCCUGCUUUUGUGGGGUGCUCGAGUGGCGAACGGGUGAGUAACACGUGAGUAACCUGCCCUUGACUUUGGGAUAACUUCAGGAAACUGGGGCUAAUACCGGAUAGGAGCUCCUGCUGCAUGGUGGGGGUUGGAACGUUUCGGCGGUUGGGGAUGGACUCGCGGCUUAUCAGCUUGUUGGUGGGGUAGUGGCUUACCAAGGCUUUGACGGGUAGCCGGCCUGAGAGGGUGACCGGCCACAUUGGGACUGAGAUACGGCCCAGACUCCUACGGGAGGCAGAAGUGGGGAAUAUUGCACAAUGGGCGGGAGCCUGAUGCAGCAACGCCGCGUGCGGGAUGACGGCCUGCGGGUUGUAAACCGCUUUCGCCUGUGACGAAGCGUGAGUGACGGUAAUGGGUAAAGAAGCACCGGCUAACUACGUG